UACAGAGGGUGCUAGCGUUGUUCGGAUUCAUUGGGCGUAAAGGGUGCGUAGGUGGCGCCGUAAGUCGGGUGUGAAAUUUCGGAGCUUAACUCCGAAACUGCAUUCGAUACUGCGGUGCUUGAGGACUGGAGAGGAGACUGGAAUUCAUGGUGUAGCAGUGAAAUGCGUAGAGAUCAUGAGGAAGACCAGUGGCGAAGGCGGGUCUCUGGACAGUUCCUGACGCUGAGGCACGAAGGUCAGGGGAGCAAACGGG
rnacentral:rRNA from 1 species